CAGCACCACUCGCGUUCCACCUACCUGGCAAUGUCUGUCCUUUCCAAUUUCUAUUCUGUCCUUUUCAUUAGCCUCUUUCUUUCCCUUUUCACUUUCCUAUAAACUUCAGUCAGCAUCCACAAGGGGAAGAGACAAGAACAAGGUAUGUUUCCCACUGCCCUCUGUGCCCAGAAAGAACUCAGACAAAGGCACUUCUACCAAAGAUUUACUCCACAGAUGCUCCUUGGAUCUUGUCAUGGAAUUAGGAUUAAAUAUUGGGAGGUAUAUCAGAUGUGCUCGGUUAAACAUUAGCAAUUUUUAAAAGUUGAGGCAUUUCUCAAACUUUUACACAGGCUAAUAUGAAUUGUGAAUUUCCAGGAAGAAAGAUAACAAAUACAAGUUUCUGAAACUUAUGUGAUAGCACAUUCCUCUUUUUUAAAAUGGAGCAUCUUAUAGUGUUCUGUGCAACAUAUUUUGGGAAGCACUGAUCUGGCAUAUUCUAAAUGCUCCCUGGAAUUCUAUAUUCUUGAUACUUUAAAAUUAAAUCUCCUUGCUUUGGGAUCAAACAACGGAUCUUCUGAUGGCUAAAAAGAACACAAUCUUACAAAAGAACAGAAAGCAUAGCCUAGGUAGUGUGCUUUCUUGAAAAUUAUUAAAACACACAGUGCUAUAUGUUACUGAUGUAAUAAAUGAGAUGAACUCAAUGGAAAUACACACAUCAAAAACCUUUUACUUCCUUAAUCAUGUCUUCAAAGGCAAGAGUAGUGUGACUUGCCCACCUCUAAAUAUGUCUCGUGUUUACCCCAUAGCUUUUCAGGUACUUUUAGUUAGAAAAUAGUAUCAUUUAGGGUAGUUAAGACUAUAUAUAUAUUGCUUUGUCUUUAAUGCUGCUUCCGUAUUCCUUGUAACUGUUGGCGUUUUCCAUGAGGGGUGUCUACAUGCUGGUCUUUUGUCUGGUGCAUUGAUGGAGCCUUUGGAGGCUGCACUGGACCACCACGCUGUACCCAGUAAGGGCAAUUCACUUUUUAGCUAAUCUCCUGUAUCUACGCCUAUUGCUUCUACUGCUAGUGAUGAAUCCAAGGUCUCGUACUGCUGGCCAGAGUACUUUCAAGAUGGCCCAAGCUCAUUUAACUUCCGAAGCAUCCACUUGGUUCUCAAGAAAUUCCUGAGUCCUUGUGGGGCAAUCUGUUUUUGCCUUGCCAUCACGUGCUGCUCCAGCCAGACUCCUACCUUCAGGAUUCUCCAGAUGAGAGGCAGAUCCAGUGUUUGUGACUGUUCCCCAAAGCCUAGCCAGAUCUUCCCACUGCCAAACCCAUCCAACCUUCACCGGUCUGGUCCAUUCUUCCUCUUUCGGACUCCUAUCAAGGAACACCUCCUUCUCUAAGUCUAAUAUUAUUCUCCCAAGAAGAGUUAGUUGCUGGAUAAUUUUUGCCUCACCGUGCAUGGCUUUCUCCUCUUCGUGGAAUCUGCCACACUGUUUUGACAUAAGAGAGCUGUUAAAGUGACCACGUCUCCAGGGGUCAAGCCUGUGGAGAAAGGGGAGCAGCAAGAGGUAUUCUUCGAAUUCUGAAGCUACAAGGGACAGGAGGCCAUAAAACCAAAAAGAAGGCCUCUGGAAAGCAAAGCAAGGCAUUUCUUCAGCCUCAAGGUACUGAUGUGGGUAGAUUCAGGACCCACCAGGACCCACCCAGUAGGAGGCCCCUGUGGAUGCACCAAUUUCAAGUAUGAAACUCUGUAGGCUUACACCCUAGUAGCAGAGGUGAACUAGCCAUGAACCAAACCUUACGAGAUUCACUGCCCUGUUCUGAUUCAGUUUAGUCCUAGAGGACAGGAUGAACCUUUUCAGAAGGAAAAUAAUAUAUGGAGACUAUGUAUAUAUUUUUACAGAUAAUACCUGACACUCAAUAAAAUGUUAAUAGGCGUGCCAAGAUACAGGGCAAUAACCUGAAAGAUAAGAUUGAACAAAAAAGAGUUUCACAAGUGAUUCAGAUAUUGGAGUUAGCAGAACAAAGACUUUAAAAUAACUAGAACUAACAUGCCUCCCAAAUAGAGGCAAAUAUGGGCAAACUAGGUGGGAGAUGGAGAACCUCACCAAAGUAUUGAAAUAUAUUUUAAAAAACUAACUAGAAAUUCUAGAAUUGAAAAAUAGAAUAACUGAGAUGAAAAAAUCAGCAAUAGAUAGUUUUAAAAAAGGCUGGACGCAACAGAAGAAAGGAUUAGUAAAGGUAGAUCAAUAGAAACUACACUGAAGCUCAGGAAGAAAAAGUGGAAAAUACAGGAAAAACACAAGGGACAUGAAGAUCUAGUGAUAAAGUUUUAUAUACAUGAAAUAGAAAUUCCAGAAGGAAAAGAUAGAGGUAAUGGGGCAGGAGAAUGUUUGAAGAAUUAAAAAACAUAGCAAGGAAAGAAAAUUACAGUGCAAUUUCUCCCUCAAAAUUUGUUAAGCUGAAGAGUUAUGAUUUGUACACUUUUCUGUAUAUAUGUUACCCUUGAAUAAAAAAUUUAAAAAGGCCAAAUACGUGUCUGACUCCAGCAAACUUUGAUAUUUUAUUCUGUUGACGUAUAUGUUAUCUACAAUAUUGAAAUUCUUGCCAUUCUAGCAUUUAACAGAGGAACUAAAACAGAACAGCAAAGGUUUUUAGUUUUUUAUUUUCUGAAUUAAAAAUUGUUUGUUUAAAAUUUUACAAUAUAAAAAGUAUAAAGUAGAAAAUGAAAAACUCUAAAAUCUCAUUGUGUGUGUGUCCACUUUCAUUUUUUCAAAC
rnacentral:lncRNA from 1 species